UCUGGGGUCACGGCAACGCCGCUGUCACACAAAGCCUUGCGGCACCCAGCACGCCCCGGAAGUGCUUCCUGCCCCGGGUUCCAGGAACCCUGAUGGCUCUGUCGGGGAACAGCCAGAGCCCCCUUGUGGGCUUUGUCCUUGUCCCUCCCUCACUGUGGCCACCUGCUGACCAGAGAGACACUGGCCCUGGGCCGGCAAACCAGAGUCCGCACAGCUUGUCCCACGCCCAAGGUGGGGAGGAAGAGAGGCUGGGGAGCCGUCCUGUAUGUAGCCCGUAUUCACCCAGCCUGAUGCUCUCACCCACGCGGUGGCCUCGCAAGUUUGAGACCUGCGGUGAAUGGCCUAGGAGUCGUGGGACUUCCCCAGAGGCUGGAGCUGGAGGGAUGGGGCCACCUGUUGGGAACCCUGGAGUCACGAGUGAGACUGGACUCUGACCACAGCAUUCUGGCGUCAGAACAGGACCAUUCCCGGCUAGGUAAUGGGCAUUGAUGAAAGAGGUCAUGCAAGAGGGAUAGAGUAGACAGUCACAUCUCACCAAGGACCACUCUGUGGACUCUGUCAAGGAAUCAUGGUCUGAUGGCCCCCAGCAAUUUUGUUGUAGAGGACUGCUCUUUGGUACCGAUCAGGAGAAGGGGUAUUAGAGUUAAAUCCAGGUGCUGAAUGAUGAUGAGCUAUGAGGAAAGACUGGCUGACUCACAUCCAACAAACUGAAGCAAAACAAAAAAGCAAUAGCUUGGCAGACAGAAAGGAAAGUGGGUGAACUUGGAACAGAAACCCGUGUGGGGUCAGAUAAGCUGGACUUUCCCCAGCUGCUCCUAGGCUCCCCGCAGGCACUGAUGCCCACUCGGAGGCUUUGGUUCUAGAAGCUAAGCUUGCUCUUGUUUAAAAAACAAUCCGGGUCAAUUCUGUGUUCUCCUUUUCUGCGUGCCCUUUCCUGGGCAUGUACCCAGUGGGCACUUGCUCUCAGCCUCCUCCCUGAAAUACCUGCUCUCCGGAAGGGUUCUGUUAUCAGCCAUCUCCACCUGGGGGCUCGGAUGAAUGGCCAACUCAACUGGGAUCCAACAGCAUGAUAAGGCAGCCAAGAAAGCCGGCUCCAUCUUGGGCUGCGUUCAGGGAAGCCAGCUAGCCUACACUGAGGAGGGAGUCAUUGUGCCGUCCUUUGCCCCAGUGAGGGCACAACUAAAGUAUUCUAUUUGGCUCUGGGUGCCAUAGUGUAGGACGGGCGCUGACAAUCUGGAGGACGGCCAGAGGAACAUGACCAGGAGAGUGAAAUGUCUCAAGGCUGUGCUAUAUGAGAAUGGGAGAAGACAAUAACUAGGGGGCAGCUGGGUGGCUCAGUGGAUGGAGAGCCAGGCCUAGAGACGGGAGGUCCCGGGUUCAAAUCUGGCCUCAGACACUUCCCAGCUGUGUGACCCUGGGCAAGUCACUUGACCCUCAUUGCCUAGCCCUGACCACUCUUCUGCCUUGGAAUAAUAAUCACAAUAAUGAUUCCAAGAUGGAUGGUAAGUGUUUAAAAAAAAAAGACAAUUCCCAAUUCUUGGGAAAGUGCCCUUAACUUCCGUUUGCCUCAGUUUCUUCAUCUAUAAAAUGGGGAUAGUAAUAGCACCUGUCUCUCAGAAUAUUUGAGAGGAUCAAAUGAGAUAAGAUUUGUAAAACAUUUAACACGUGCCUGGCCUAGCAAGCACUAUACAACUGUUCGUUAUCAUUAUUAUCACCAGCCUGGAGAAGCGAAGACUUCAUGGGGACAGGGGAGAGGCGUUCAAAUGUUGGAGGUUUGUGGGUGGAGGAGUGAGCAGACUUGUUCGUGUUGGCCCAACAGCAGAACUUGGGGCAAUAGUGAGGAGACGAUGAAGGGAAGCUGCCGAGAAGACAGCUGAGGCUUGAUGCAAGAAGAGACUUCCCACACGUCAGAGCUGUCCGAAACUGGCCUGGAAGGCUCUGGAUCUGAGGGUUCCUGCUCUCUGAGGGUCUAAGGGUCUCUUGUUGGGAGGGGGGAGGAGAGCCCUAUUCCAGUGGAAGGUUUCUCAGGCCCCUGCCUGCCCCGCAGCGCUGGGAGUCUGAAUUUCUGGCCCUCGGUUCCUUCUUUCACCGAGUUGCCGAGUCUCCGGUCAACCUCCCUGGCAUGGAUAACAUCCAUAGCAGGGGGCCAUCCAAUCAUUGCUUAAAGACCUCCCGUGGAAGGAAACCUACUGCCCCAUUCCCCUGGGGGACAUCCCCUCCUAGAGGGAUUUCUGGUGUCAGGUAAGAGGUAGGAAGGCCAGGAGGCCAGAUCCCCCUUCCUGCCGCCAGUGCGUCCAAAGCCCAAGCCCGGUGCUGUGAGCCGGGAGCGUGGCUGCCCACGUUGGGAGGCGAGUCCAUCUGUCCAGAAAUCCGAAGGCGUGUUUGCGGUGCUCAUGGGAUGAGCCCUGGAUGCAGCCGGGGAAGACAGGAAGCCCAAGGGAGCUCCCAGACUGAUGGAGAUGUGACAGAGGAGACCGUCCCUGUGCUCGGGGGGCUCCUAGUCUGAUGGCGGAGACACGGAGAGCCAAACACUGCCCAUCUCCUCCUGUAAAUGUCCUUCAGCCCUCCCCACCCACCUCAGAGAGCCAGGAUUCCACACACAGCUGCAAACUCCAGCUCUUUGUAAAAAGGGGGCCUCUUCCAGCACCCAGACCAGGGAGCACAGGCUUGGGAGUGCUGUGGCGGCCUCAGAGAGCUGAGCCCAGCAGGAGCCUGGGGCUGAGGGGAGACUCUUAGGGAGCAUCUCAAUUGGAGUCGGAUCUGACCGAGGGAAACAGCUGCUAGAACGUAAAGAACAUAGACUAUUGACUUCAGAAUGGAAAGGGACCCUGGAACACAGAAUACCAGAGACAGAAGGGGCAGUGGAGCUCAUCUAGGGCUGCCCUCUGAUUUUACAGAUGGGGAAACUGAGGUCAGUAGAGAUCGAGACUUUUCCAGGGUCACUCAGCAAGUUGGUGACAGAGAUAGAAGUAGAGCUCCAGAAUGAUCCCCAGGGGCUUUACCUUUACACCAUCAAUAUCUCCUUUUACUCUACUCAGUUCAGGACUCCCACAUUCAUUUCAAUUUAAAAAUUUUUGGUUUUUCAAUUUAAUUUAAUUUCUUAAAUUUUAGUUUUAAAUUUUAAUUUGAUUUAAAAUUGGUUUUUAAUUUUAUCUUUUAAAAUUCUGAAUUUAACAAGCACUAAAUAAAGGAACUAUUUCUACACAUAUAUGUAUACAGUAAAACAGAAAAAAGUGUUCACUAAAUUUACAUACUCAUUUUGCCCUUAAAUUUCCCAAUUAAUUCCCUAGAAUGUCUUUUUAUGUCUUUUCCUCCUUUUUGAAAUACUUAGCUCUCUCCCUUUCUCUAACUUUGCACAUUGUCCAGCUUAGAGUUCUGUUCAUCAGUCAGUCAGCGUGUCAACAACUGAGCACCUACUGUGUGCCAGGUACUACAGUGAUAAGUAGGGAAUGUCCCAUAGGGGAAUGGGGCAGUAGGUUUCCUUCCACGGGAGGUCUUUAAGCAAUGAUUGGAUGGCCCCCUGCUAUGGAUGUUAUCCAUGCCAGGGAGGUUGAAUUGAGACUCAACUGAGUGAAAGAAGGAACCCAGGGCCAGAAAUUCACAGACUCCUAGUGUUGCAGGGCAGGCAGGGGCCUGAGAAACCUUCCACUGGAAUAGGGCUCUCCUCCCCCCUCCCAACAAGUGAUCCUUAGACCCUCAGAGAGCAGGAACCCUCAUAUGUGGAGCCGUCCAGGCCAAUUUUGGGCAGCUCUAACGUUUGGGAAAUCUCUUCUUGCAUGAAGCCUCAGUUGUCUUCUCUGUAGCUUCCCUUCCUCCUCACCUCAAUUUAAGACAGAAGAACCCCAAGGGCGAGGCAUUUGGGGUUAAGUGACUUGCCCAGGGUCCUAUAGCUAGGAAGUGUCUGAAGUCGGAUUUGAAUCCAGGUCCUCCCAACUCUAGGCCUGGUGCCUCCCCUUGACUUUUAUUUCAUGGAUUUCACCACAGCCUAAGAAUUCACCCCAGAGUAGCUCACAGCCCUCUGUGACAGGCAUCCCAGGCUGGGCCUCUUUGCAGGCUGGGACCUGGCUUGACAUCUUUCCAGUUGGCUAAGUCCUGCUGGAGCUGUGCCCCUCAAUCACUGACUUCAUGAGCCUCGGCUCACCUGCGCAGCCCAGUGAGGACGUCUUCAUGCUGUGGUUGUCACCACGUUCAUUCUCUUCUUUUGCGAGUUUGUUUUUGAAAGUACCUCCCACUUAUGUCAGCUUUACAAUUUACAAAGCCCAUAUAAAUGUCCAUUAUCUCAUUUCAGCCUCAUUACAUGCCCUCCUCCCUCCGGCCCUCCCCGGGCUGUGGAUAGCACAUUAUUAGCCCUAUUCCACAGGUGAGAAAGCUUGAGCUCUGAGGUGAAGAAAUCUGCCCUGGGUCACCCAGGGACUUUGGAAACCAAGUCAACAGUAGAAAAUACUGGAGAGCACCCCAAUGCUUGGGGCUGGGGAAAGGGAAAAGUCCUUUAUUGUUGUUGUUCAGUUGUGUGCUAGUUUGAGGUUUUCUCAAUAAAGAUACUAGAGAGAUUGGCCAUUUCCUUCUCCAGCUCAUUUUACAGAUGAAGAAACUGAGGCAAAUAGGAGUAAGUGACUUGUCCAGGGACACACAGCUUGUAAGUGUCUGAGAUCAGAUUUGAACUCAGGAAAAUGAGUCUUCUUAACUCCAGGCCUGGUACUUUAUCCACUGCACCACCUAGCUGCCCCAGUCACUUAUUAGGUACCUACUAUAUGGCAGACACUGUGAAAGCACCUUGCAAAUAUUAUCUCAUUUGAUUUUCUUUAUCUGUGUGUGAGAUCAUGAUUGCUAUUCCUGCUUUCUUUGUCUCUUUGAAGCCCAAUAGAUUCUGCUCUAGCCUCUUA